GGCUGGUCUGAUGGUAGUGUAUUAUCAGAACUUAUUAACAUUGGUGUCACUAAAGUUAAUAUACAACCCCCAACUGCUAAAUUUGACUGGCUUAAA
rfam:Macaca mulatta chromosome 13, whole genome shotgun sequence.